GCAUUUCCUGAUGAGGUCUGACCCAGUUUUUGCCGAUGAAAGACUUUAUUCUGGAUACGACCGCGACGGUGGUCUGAAUAUGGCUGAUGGCCUCAAAUAUCACCCAGAAAGAGAGAGCGAGAACGAGAACGAGAGCGUGACUCCAUGUGAGACAGAGGGGGAGGUGAACGCAAGGAGGACCUGAAAAGGGGCUGUACAAACUAGCCAUCACAUACACACCGAAGCACUUGGGAGUACAGGAAGUAGCAGUUGAGAGGAAAAUCACUGCCUCGUCCUCUGGCAGCAGUGGAAGUUCAUGCAGUGGCCUUUCAUUUUAACUACACAACAAGAGGUUAAGACAUUAAGCCCUGUCUGGAUAAACCAUAUAGUUGCCCGAGGAGCCUCUCUGGACCAGAUCUGAAACAAGCAAAUAAACUAUAUGUCUGCUCUUGAUGUUGGGUUAGAGAUCAUAUCACUUGGCUUAAACCACCCAGAGAGAUUUGAUCAGUAAUACAGGGAUAAAGAAUCAGAACUACAGAACAUAUCUGUUUAAAAUCCAAACAAAUGGACUGAGCACAAUAAAGCUCUGCUUGAAAGUUUAGCAACUACAAUAGCUGCAGUCAGAACAUUUGGACGACCUUUUGGCUAAAUGUGUUUUUUCAUGUGCUAAUGAAACGACAGGAAAGCACCAAGCACUGCCCUUCAUCUUGACAUUGUUCAAACGUUUUGAGACCAAGGGCUACGCGUGCCUUUAAAGAAACACUCUGUCUCGGGGAGAUUGCGAUAAACUCGAGGGACAUGUUUUGGUGACUCAAAAAGAAAGACAAAAAUCUGGAUGUAAGAUCGAAAACAGACGCAAAUAGAACAGAGGAUAGUCUCCCAGCCUUUGCCGCAUUUGCAAAAGAGCACAUCCCACUUGUGAAAUUUUCUUGGCCCUUUUCCAUGGGAACUGAUCCAGGGUGCAUUGAGAAAUACCUCCAGGGAGGUCUUGUUAGAGUUUGAAUAAUAUUGUGUGGAUUGAAAGCAAAAGUACAUUUCUCAGCUCAUCUCUGGGCAGGUAGCGCGUCUACUCUGAAGGAUUUAUGGUGAAGAAAGCAUCCAGCAAAAUGUAGAGCUUUGGUUUGACUUUGAUCCUGCGUUUGAUCCGUGUUUCUUCGUGGAAGUCGGGAAGCAUAAAACAAUCCGGGAUCCCGAAACCAGCUCUUACAAACCAAACGUAGGCCCCAGCUGAGAAAAAGAAAACUUUAUCACACCCAGGCUAGCGUGUCGGCUAAAAGGGGGCUCGCCGAAAGAAGAGAAUCUCUUAGGCAAGGACGGAGUGAAGCAGGCUGGGAUGGAGUGCAAACAUGAGCCUGCUAGAAGAGGGGACAGCUGGGGUGGGCCUAGCACUACAACAUCCUCCACCCUCAACAAGACUGGAGCAAACACGUCCCUGGAGAGGCACAGUACUAACAUUUUAGAGAAAGAUGACCGCUGCGGAGUCAGAGCAAAGCCAGGCUUGACGUCUUGCCAGAUGGAGCGGAAAACAAACGCAGAUGAGCCGUACAGUAAUAGCUCUUCACUUCAUACCCACUGACCAUAAUGCUCAAGCUGUGGGUAAUGUUAUCUGGAAAGAAUGCAUAAUAAGGUUUGCAGAUGACCAGGCACCCAUUGUAAGUGCAGUAGGCGGCAGUUCACACCAGUGACUGUGUGACAGAGGGGUUUUACAACCCUGCUGAUGAGAAUUCAGACCCAUUUGAGGCAGUCUGAAACUGUUUUUGCAGAAUUCAAGAGGUUGUUAUGAUGUUGUUACAGCUUUGGAGUGUGUAAAAUGGCGAGAGGGGAGGAUGUGGAAAGGCUGAGGCGGAACAGCUAAUUCAGUCACUUUAUAUUGGUUUCAUACUGUUCCUAGGAAGAGAUGCUGAAGUAAAUGUCAGCAUUUUCUCUUUUUCUUUCAUUCUCUCUCUCCUUGUAUGGGAUUGAUGUCGCCACACAGUAUCAUGAUUUGAUGAGACGCAGAAUGUUAUGCUUCUCUUU